UCCUCACUUUCAGGCUUCCAUGCUUCUCUGUGACAUCCCCAAAAACAGGCAGAGUCUAAGAUGUGCAUUUACCCACUCAAGCCUCAAGCUUGUAUCUGUAUCCAUAUCCAGGGACAUGAACAAGAACUGGGGUAGCCAAUUGAUUUAACUUAGAGCACUCUCAAAGUUCAGAUCAGCGUUCUGUGUGUGCAUGAGUGUGGUGGGGAGCUUUUCCCCUAGGACAAAGAGACUUUCCCUCCCAUUUUUGCCAUUGUGCUAGUUAAAAAAAAAAGUAAAGAAAAAAAAAAAAGAAUCCCUGACAAGGAAGAAUUCCCUGAAGAUGGUAGGGGUGGAAAUAAUGACCACUGAGAUGAUAUUCCAUUUCUGGCUCCUGGGGGAAAAUGUUUUUAAAAUUUAUUUUAUUUUGAGGAGACCAAGAUAGUCUGAAGUUUAGAGUGUUGUAAUUUACUAUAGGGAGAGGGCACAAGACUCUGAGCCCCAAGCAAUUGGUGGGAAACUAGGCCUCAAAGCAGAAAAUGAAAAGUCGAUCUGGGAGAAGAUUUUUAAAUAAGUGGGUCAGAGGGAUGGAGAGGAGAUGAGGCGAUCAAUCUUAGCCCCCUGACAGCUCCCUCCGAUUGCAUCAAAGAAUUUGGCUCUUUGGGAAAGCAGAGGCAACAGCCAAAACUUCACAUCCCUUAAAAAGGCCUGGGGGUGGGGGUGGGGGUGCAAAAGAGAAAGGUGAUUCUGGGAGAGCUGGGAAACAGACGGGAAAUGGGGACAGAGGGAAAGCGCUAAGUUGGGUGGAAAGUUUGCCUGGAGAACUCCCACGGCUCUGGCCUCCCCUCCCCCUCCUCUCUCUCUGCUGCCCAGCCAGGAGGAGAAGGCUGGUUAGCAGAGAAAUGGCAACUGAGCCCGGAGCUGGAACUAGAAACUUUCUGUCAGUGUAACAUCUGCGUGGGUGGUGACCCAAUGGUGGUUGGGCUUCGGGUCACGUGACAACUUCUUUGUAGCUCCGGAAGAGGAUUGCGAAGUUUAGGUUUCGUGGAAGAAACCGUAAUCGGCCAGAUUUUCUUGAUAAUUGAGGGAAAAAAAUCAAGAUUUGGGGGAAUUACCUACAAAGAUGUAAGGUGUGUUAAUUUGGGCGCUUCUUGGAUUCUACCCUGAGGAGGAGGCGCGUGGUGAGAGGAGAGGUCUGUGUAGGUGGGGUGGGGUUCGCAGGGUCCGUGGUGCUGGCUGGGCGCCAUAGGGGGCGCCCCGUUGUAGUCCAGGUUCCCGGAAGGGUGAUGGGAAAGGUGGUUGAGGCCAUAGAGGGAGGGGCCGGCAGGGGGCGGCAGCGGAUCCGCGUAGCCGCCCCCUCCCACGUACACCGGACUGCCCUGCAUGGUGGGCGUCCCGUAGGCGCCCCCGUUGGCUUGGAGGACGUGCGGCUCAUACUCGGGAGCCGGGGUCGGAGGGUACUUCUGCGGGGCGCCGCAGCCUUUGAGAGGGGGCUGGUAGUUGGAGGGCAGCGCGUAGGCAUUCUGGUGGGCUUUACCGAAGGCAGGUGGGGACGGGCUCUCGUAGCUGGGGGUCAUGGAGUGUAAGGCGUUCAUGAAGCCGGCCGUGGACUGCAUGGGCUGUGGGGGGCUGCCAGCUGGAGAUGGGCCCCCCGACGACGAGGCCAAUCCCUUGGCCUUCUGGUCCUUCUUGUACUUCAUGCGCCGGUUCUGGAACCAGAUCUUGAUCUGCCGCUCGCUGAGGUUCAGCAGGUUGGCCAUCUCCACACGGCGAGGCCGGCACAGGUAGCGGUUAAAAUGGAACUCCUUCUCCAGCUCCACCAGCUGCGCGCUCGUGUACGCCGUCCGCGCCCGCUUGGACGCCGCCGACCCCGGGGGGCUCUUGUCCCCUCCCCCGCCGCCGCCGCCGCCACCGCCCCCGCUGCCACCACUGCCUCCGCCGCCGCCGCCACCACAGCCCUCUGCUGGAUCCGAGAGGGAGGGGUGGGAAGGGGAGAAAAUGAAAUAAAAGAUAAUUACUGAA